AUAUUUACCUGGCAGUGGAGAUACCAUGAUCACGAAGGUGAUUUUCUCAGGGCGAGGCUUAUCCAUUGCACUCUGCAUGUGCUGACCCCUGCAGUUCCCCAAAAUGAGGGAAACCAACUGCAUAAUUUGUAGUAGUGGGGGGGAAAAUAAUGCUAA